CCCCGGGUCCCUUCAGGUAGGGACGGGUGAACCCCGCCAGGCCCGGAAGGGAGCAACGGUAAGCCCGCAACCCUACGCUGAAAGGGGGUGCCCGGGGUAA
rnacentral:SRP_RNA from 1 species